rnacentral:rRNA from 1 species
UACGUAGGGAGCAAGCGUUGUCCGGAAUCAUUGGGCGUAAAGCGCGCGUAGGUGGCCUCGUAAGUCCGCUGUGAAAGUCAAAGGCUCAACCUUUGAAAGCCGGUGGAUACUGUGGGGCUAGAGUACGGAAGAGGCGAGUGGAAUUCCUGGUGUAGCGGUGGAAUGCGCAGAUAUCAGGAGGGACACCGGUGGCGAAGGCGGGUCUCUGGGCAGUAACUGACACUGAGGAGCGAAAGCGUGGGGAGCGAACAGG